UUGCUGUAGUUUUGUUACGAGCUUCAAAGCUCAAGUAAUAUGACUUUGACUGUUAUUACUUUAAACUCCUUUAAAAGAAUUUGGGGACGUUAUACUGGUUUUGGUUUUCAUACUCAUAAAAGUACUUUUUCUAUUGGAAGAACUCUUUCGCCUAAACUGCAUUUAAGGAAUUUACAUCCCGAGUCCUCUACAUGCGAAGUAAACAAGCCAAUUCCUUUUUCUAAAACUAAAGCCGCUUCCUUUAACAUAACCGAUUUAACUAAAAGCGACCGCGAAAAAAGAAGAAUUAAUUGGGCCGGUUGGCUAAACAUUUCAAUAUUGCUGCUUGUUUGUUAUUGUAUGUACUACGGCCAAGAUCCUGACUGCGAUCUUUUUCCUUUCAUAACAAAGUUUGUUAAAACCGAUUUGGAGCCUGAAAUUUUAUUUAAUAAACGGGAAUAAAAGG